GCCAGCGUGCCAGAAUCCGGCUAAAUGGGCUUGCCUCGAAAGCGAGUGUCCGCAAGGACGCGCAGGUUCAAAUCCUGCCGCUGGCG
rnacentral:tRNA from 1 species